rnacentral:rRNA from 1 species
AGUGAACGCUGGCGGUAGGCCUAACACAUGCAAGUCGAACGGCAGCACAGUAAGAGCUUGCUCUUACGGGUGGCGAGUGGCGGACGGGUGAGGAAUACAUCGGAAUCUACUUUUUCGUGGGGGAUAACGUAGGGAAACUUACGCUAAUACCGCAUACGACCUACGGGUGAAAGCAGGGGAUCUUCGGACCUUGCGCGAUUGAAUGAGCCGAUGUCGGAUUAGCUAGUUGGCGGGGUAAAGGCCCACCAAGGCGACGAUCCGUAGCUGGUCUGAGAGGAUGAUCAGCCACACUGGAACUGAGACACGGUCCAGACGCCUACGAGAGGCAGCAGUGGGGAAUAUUGGACAAUGGGCGCAAGCCUGAUCCAGCCAUACCGCGUGGGUGAAGAAGGCCUUCGGGUUGUAAAGCCCUUUUGUUGGGAAAGAAAAGCAGCAGGUUAAUACCCCGCUGUUCUGACGGUACCCAAAGAAUAAGCACCGGCUAACUUCGUG